rnacentral:tRNA from 1 species
GUUGCGGUGGCCGAGCGGUAAGGCGUUGGACUAGAAAUCCAAUGGGAUCUUCCCGCGCAGGUUCAAAUCCUUCCGGGCAACG